rnacentral:rRNA from 1 species
CCCUUAGACGUUCUGGGCCGCACGCGCGCUACACUGACCAGUGCAACAAGCAUCCGUCCUUGGCCGACAGGCCCGGGCAAUCUUUGAACGCUGGUCGUGAUGGGGAUAGACUUUUGCAAUUUUUGGUCUUCAACGGGGAAUUCCUAGUAAACGCAAGUCAUCAACUUGCAUUGAUUACGUCCCUGCCCUUUGUACACACCGCCCGUCGCACCUACCGAUUGAAUGGUCCGGUGAAGCCUCCGGAUUGGCGCGCACCUCGGUGCCGCCGAGAAGUUGGCUAAACCUUACCAUUUAGAGGAAGGUGAAGUCGUAACA